GGUGACGCUAGAGCUUGCUCUGGUUGAUCAGUGGCGAACGGGUGAGUAACACGUGAGUAACCUGCCCUUGACUCUGGGAUAACUCCGGGAAACCGGGGCUAAUACCGGAUACGAGACGCGAUCGCAUGGUCGGCGUCUGGAAAGUUUUUCGGUCAAGGAUGGACUCGCGGCCUAUCAGCUAGUUGGUGAGGUAACGGCUCACCAAGGCGUCGACGGGUAGCCGGCCUGAGAGGGCGACCGGCCACACUGGGACUGAGACACGGCCCAGACUCCUACGGGAGGCAGCAGUGGGGAAUAUUGCACAAUGGGCGAAAGCCUGAUGCAGCGACGCCGCGUGAGGGAUGAAGGCCUUCGGGUUGUAAACCUCUUUCAGUAGGGAAGAAGCGAAAGUGACGGUACCUGCAGAAGAAGCGCCGGCUAACUACGUGCCAGCAGCCGCGGUAAUACGUAGGGCGCAAGCGUUGUCCGGAAUUAUUGGGCGUAAAGAGCUCGUAAGCGGUUUGUCGCGUCUGGUGUGAAAACUCAA
rnacentral:rRNA from 1 species